UGCCCAAAGAGCAAAUCUCAGCCUCACC
rnacentral:piRNA from 1 species